CUCGCCGCCUUCGGUCGCGUCCUGGCCGUUGCCCCAGCUCUGCUUCCUCUGGGCUGCAGCGGUCGGGAGAGUUGUGGCAAGAAAGGAUGCUUGUUAUUGUUAUUUGGGAGAUACUUUUUUUUUCUGUUUUUAAAGGCACGGUGCCUCUUCGCCGACAGGAGCCAACAUUUUAGCACCAGCGGAGGUUGGUCUUCUGUCGUGCCUUAGCGUCAGCCCUCCGUGAAUCCCACGUCGUUUUAACUCGUCUUUGCUUCCAUGGGAAAACUACGAAGCAAUGUAGUACAUAACCCUCUAAACUCAGGGUGUGUGUCAGGGGAGCUUUAAACUAUGGACUCCGGAAGAUACAGUCAGUAGAAGUCAAGCUCAGUUUAGUUUAAAAAAAAAAAGGAAAAUAAUCUCAUAGGAAAAAAAAUAAGUAUUUUGUAAAUUAUUCAUACUAGUUCCCUUACACUUUUAAGCCUCCCACUCUAGUUAUCGUCUUGAUGUGUAAUCCUGCCGUUUUGAUUUAAAAACAUUCAGUGAAACUUAAAAUUGUGAUUUUACUAGACUGAAGUAGAACAUGAAAAUAAUGGGCCUUUCCUCCUAAUUCAAUUGCUUCAUUGACUGUUGUGGGAGAGGGUGAGACGCCUUACCUAACCUACUGAUAAGGUACUUUCAGCAGGAAAUCCACCUUAAUUCAUUUCCAAUCAAUCUUCAGUUUGACUCAUAGGUCAAAUAAAGGAUUGCUAAAAAUCGAAAAUGUGGAUGUUUUAUCCUCCACUGGAAAAGGCUACAGACAAACCAAUUGUCUUUCUAUAUGAGAAGCACCGUACAGCAUCUGAACAGCACACCAACUUUCUGCUAAGUUGCUAUUCCAUUCAACUGCAAAAAUACUUGCACUGACCCUGGAAACAGAAUGGAGAAAUAGAAGGAAACAGAUUUCUGUAAAACAGCUACUUCCCUGCUCUAUGUUAUUGCCAUCUUGGGGACCCUUCUGUUACCACACUCACAAGCUCCAGCAUGUCUCCAUGUCUUGGCCAGAGCAAUAGAGGCAAAUGACAGGCAGUCCCAUCCUUCACCAGUUUUCCAGAGAAAUAAUUCUUCUAUAAGCCUGAUGUUAACUUUCGAUUAAAAUAAAUACUCUUCAUCAUUUUAGGACAAUAUCUUUCCAUUCACUGGAUAUCAGUCAAAUACCAAUUUCAUAUCUUCUAUGCUGUGCUUUUAUUUACUUUUCAUUUUUCUUAAAGUGUGUCAUGUUUUAAAUGUAAAUUUUAAAGUAAAUUAACUUAAAUUAAGUGGAAAACUUUCCAUCAGUAUAGAAGUUGGAAAAAGAAAAGCAAAAAGAACAACAAGAAGAUGGAAAAACAAAACCACUUUCCAUAAAGGGGAGGUAACCAUAAAAUUUUUUAAAAAGCACAAAACAGUGUUAUAUUCUGU